rnacentral:misc_RNA from 1 species
AAAAAAAGAAAAAAUCUCAUAUUAAUCAUCUCUUUGUUUUCUUGGUUCCAUGUACACAAACCUCAAGGUUUGUUUUUGCUGAUUUUGGGAAUUUGACUUUGGUUUUCCUUUUCUUGAGGAUUUGGACUUCAAGAAAAUAUGGCAAAGGAUAGGCAUAUGGGUGUGGCCUUGGAUUUUUCCAAGGGAAGCAGAUUAGCUCUCAAAUGGGCCAUUGACAAUCUGCUAGACGAAGGUGACACCCUCUAUGUCCUUCACGUCAAGCCCUCACAAGGGGAAGAGUCUCGCAACCUUCUUUGGUCCACUACUGGUUCACCUCUGAUUCCACUGGUGGAGUUUCGUGAUCAGGAGGUGGCAAAAAAAUAUGAGGUUAAACUUGAUCCAGAGGUUUUGGAUAUGUUAGACACCGUCUCUAGGCAGAAACAGGUGAUUGUAGUGGCAAAAAUUUACUGGGGAGAUGCAAGAGACAGAUUAUGUGAGUCCGUAGAGGAUCUGAAGCUUGACUGUCUGGUCAUGGGUAGCAGAGGCCUUGGUUCCAUACAAAGGGCGCUGCUUGGGAGUGUGACCAACUAUGUGAUGACAAAUGCAACUUGCCCUGUGACUGUCGUCAAGGAUCCAAGUGCUCAUGGGUUCUGAUCAAAAUCUGAAUUUGAUCUUGCAGCGAUGAUUUGUGCUUUCCCUUUCUUUGGCUUGUACCUGCUUGUAUUGAAAUGUGAGUGGUUCUGAGUUUCUACCCCUUCACGGGCUAUCUUCAU